CCCCUGCCUCCGCGGCUGGCCCUAAAGACAGUGGCGGCGCCGCUCGGCUCUAAGCGUAGUACAGCUCUCGCUCUAGGGUCUCGCGGUGGCCUGCCAGAACCCCCAACUCUCGUGGUUGACCUCGGAUCAGGUAGGGAUACCCGCUGAACUUAAGCAUAUCAAUAAGCGGAGGAAAAGAAACCAACAGGGAUUGCCUUAGUAACGGCGAGUGAAGCGGCAACAGCUCAAAUUUGAAAUCUGGCCCCCUCGGGGCCCGAGUUGUAAUUUGGAGAAGAUGCUUCGGGGGUGGUGCCGGUCGAAGUUCCUUGGAACAGGGCGUCAUAGAGGGUGAGAAUCCCGUACGUGCCCGGUGGCCGCCCCCGUGUGAAGCUCUUUCGACGAGUCGAGUUGUUUGGGAAUGCAGCUCAAAAUGGGUGGUAAAUUUCAUCUAAAGCUAAAUAUUGGCCAGAGACCGAUAGCGCACAAGUAGAGUGAUCGAAAGAUGAAAAGCACUUUGGAAAGAGAGUUAAACAGUACGUGAAAUUGUUGAAAGGGAAGCGCUUGCAACCAGACUUGCGCGCGGUCGAUCAUCCGGUGUUCGCACCGGUGCACUCGGCCGCGCGCAGGCCAGCAUCGGUCUGGGUGGUUGGAUAAAGGCCUUGGGAAUGUGGCUCUCUUCGGGGAGUGUUAUAGCCCAAGGUGCAAUGCGGCCUACCCGGACCGAGGACCGCGCUCCGGCAG
rnacentral:rRNA from 1 species